AGAACGAACGCUGGCGGCAUGCCUAACACAUGCAAGUCGAACGAGACCUUCGGGUCUAGUGGCGCACGGGUGCGUAACGCGUGGGAAUCUACCCUUGGGUUCGGAAUAACAGUUGGAAACGACUGCUAAUACCGGAUGAUGACGUAAGUCCAAAGAUUUAUCGCCCAGGGAUGAGCCCGCGUAGGAUUAGCUAGUUGGUGAGGUAAAGGCUCACCAAGGCGACGAUCCUAGCUGGUCUGAGAGGAUGAUCAGCCACACGUGGGACUGAGACGACCGGCCCAGACUCCGUACGGGAGGCAGCAGGUAGGGAAUAGUGACGAGUGGGACGAAGCCUGACUACAGACAAG
rnacentral:rRNA from 1 species